CACCCAGUCAUAUGGUUCAGCACCCUGUAACCAUUACAGCCAGCAGACACACAGAGAGCACCACUCACUGUCUAGACACAGAGGAACUCAUUCAUAAAAAUGGUCAAAUGGGGGCAGUGGAGGAUCUUGGUCUCGGUCUUCGGCGAGGCAAUGCCAUGUGAGAGGAGACCAGAUUCACGGUAGCUAGCCUUCUGGAUAUCGUCCGAAGGGCAGACAACUGGGAGGACUAGCCAGGAUCCAAUCAUGGCAGGAAUGGUGUUAGAAACAAGAGAAGAAGGAGAGACUGAGCUCCCAUGUAUGCCAUUGGUAAUAACAUUGGAAUAAAAAUGAUCCACCAGGAAAUACCCUUCAAAACUGGAAUAGACAACCCAUGGAGCCACAUGAUGAUCAUGGAGCCACAACAUGUUAGAUCAUCAUCACCAACAUCAUCAUCUACAGGACCUUGCUGUAUCGCCUGCACUAAACCGUCUUCGAAUGACCUUCCACCUCCCAACCACCACCAACCAACCUUCCACCUCCCCACCACCACCAACUAAAGGACCAUCUUCGGAUCCCUGUUCUCCCAGCGGGGGAGUGUUUCGAUGCCAGCUGCCCAGCAGAGUGCAACAUGUCAUCAGUAUCUGGCUCUGAGGAGCAUUCCUCUGAGACGAGGCCUACCCCAAACUAUUAAAUUAAAUUCCAUGUUG